GCUGCUGAGCUAAAUCCCCAGUCCCCAAUGUAUUGUUAUUUUAACCUCUGUGUGGAAGACAAAACCAGGGAUUUCUCGUUGCUGUGCAGUUUCUAUGGACAGCCAUUUCUGUGGUUUCAGCAUCGAUGCUUCAUUGACAGGAAGCCAUCAUCCCAUCCAAACUCCAAAGCCAUUCCGGUGGAGCGCAGAGACCAGUUCAAGGCGUUCUUGGCAGGACUUGGAACCCAGAGUCAUUGGAAAGUGUCCCCAUGGGGUGAUCUGUGAGUCUUCAGUGGGCCCUCACCAAGCCUUCAGAGUGGAUGCUACUAGCCACAGUGCCUGCCAUAAGUGAAAUUCUGUGGGAAGAAAGUGUGUGGUGGACUGACAACCGGUGGUCAACUUGCAGUACCCAGCUGAACUUAAUGAGCGUGGUGCUGGGCG